GACGAACGCUGGCGGCGUGCUUAACACAUGCCAGUCGAACGGAAAGGCCCUGCUGUUGUUGGGUGCUCGAGUGGCGAACGGUUGAGUAACACGUGAUUAACCUUCCCUUGACUUUGGGAUAACUUCAGGUAACUGGGGCUAAUACCGGAUAGUAGCUCCUGCUGCAUGUUGUGGCUUGGAAAGUUUCGGCGGGUGGGGAUGGACUCGCGGCUUAUCAGCUUGUUGGUGGGGUAGUGGCUUACCAAGGCUUUGACGGGUAGCCGGCCUGAGAGGGUGACCGGCCACAUUGGGACUGGGAUACGGCCCAGACUCCUACGGGAGGCAGCAGUGGGGAAUAUUGCACAAUGGGCGGAAGCCUGAUGCAGCAACGCCGCGUGCGGGAUGACGGCCUUCGGGUUGUAACCCGCUUUCGCCUGUGACGAAGCGUGAGUGACGGUAAUGGGUAAAGAAGCACCGGCUAACUACGUG
rnacentral:rRNA from 1 species